rnacentral:rRNA from 1 species
AACGAACGCUGGCGGCAUGCCUAACACAUGCAAGUCGAACGAAGGCUUCGGCCUUAGUGGCGCACGGGUGAGUAACGCGUGGGAAACUGCCUAUUGGUGGGGAAUAACGACGGGAAACUGUCGCUAAUACCGCAUAAGCCCUUCGGGGGAAAGAUUUAUCGCCGAUAGAUGUGCCCGCGUCCGAUUAGCUAGUUGGUGAGGUAAUGGCUCACCAAGGCGACGAUCGGUGGCUGGUCUGAGAGGAUGAUCAGCCACACUGGGACUGAGACACGGCCCAGCAGCCUACGGGAGGCAGCAGUGGGGAAUAUUGGACAAUGGGCGAAAGCCUGAUCCAGCAAUGCCGCGUGAGUGAUGAAGGCCUUAGGGUUGUAAAGCUCUUUCGGGUGGGACGAUGAUGACGGUACCACCAGAAGAAGCCCCGGCUAACUUCGUGCCAGCCGCCGCAGUAA